rnacentral:rRNA from 10 species
UAGUGGCGAACGGGUGAGUAACACGUGGGCAAUCUGCCCUUCACUCUGGGACAAGCCCUGGAAACGGGGUCUAAUACCGGAUAUCACUCCUGCAGGCAUCUGCGGGAGUUGAAAGCUCCGGCGGUGAAGGAUGAGCCCGCGGCCUAUCAGCUUGUUGGUGAGGUAAUGGCUCACCAAGGCGACGACGGGUAGCCGGCCUGAGAGGGCGACCGGCCACACUGGGACUGAGACACGGCCCAGACUCCUACGGGAGGCAGCAGUGGGGAAUAUUGCACAAUGGGCGAAAGCCUGAUGCAGCGACGCCGCGUGAGGGAUGACGGCCUUCGGGUUGUAAACCUCUUUCAGCAGGGAAGAAGCGAAAGUGACGGUACCUGCAGAAGAAGCGCCGGCUAACUACGUGCCAGCAGCCGCGGUAAUACGUAGGGCGCAAGCGUUGUCCGGAAUUAUUGGGCGUAAAGAGCUCGUAGGCGGCUUGUCACGUCGGGUGUGAAAGCCCGGGGCUUAACCCCGGGUCUGCAUUCGAUACGGGCUAGCUAGAGUGUGGUAGGGGAGAUCGGAAUUCCU